AUUACUAUCCCUUAUUUUAAAAUCCACAUAUUUUAUAUUUUCGGCGGCGCGGCGGUGUGAUUUUCUUAAACUAAAUGAAAUCAAUGGUUGUUAUAGACGAGAUGUUUCCUGAUGGACCUAAUUCAUUUAUGGAGACAGAAAAUAUGGCUUUAAAUAUUCUUACAGAUUUUACUAAUAAUGAAAAGAUGAUCCAUAUCGAUUUUGAUAACAGCUUUGGUGAUCUGUUUGAUGAUAACGACAAUGGAUUUUAAUGUCUGUUUCAAUAAUAUUUUAAAAUGUAUCAUACAAAUAAAAUUUAUUCAUUUAACUAAAAUUGGCCGCUUAUAUACGCACAAACUGAUGUAUAAGUUGUUUAAUUUCAUUUUUAUAAAUAUUUACUAUAACUAUAUAUUAUAUCAUUAUAGUAUUGAUGAUAUGCAUAUUAAUUUUAUUUGAAUAUAUACAAAUAUGUUAGUCAGUCCUUUGUAAGCACUAUU